rnacentral:rRNA from 1 species
GAGUUUGAUCAUGGCUCAGGACGAACGCUGGCGGCGUGCUUAACACAUGCAAGUCGAACGAGAAUCUACUGAAAGAGUUUUCGGACAAUGGAAGUAGAGGAAAGUGGCGGACGGGUGAGUAACGCGUGAGGAACCUGCCUUGAAGAGGGGGACAACAGUUGGAAACGACUGCUAAUACCGCAUGAUGCAUAAGGGUCGCAUGAUUCUUAUGCCAAAGAUUUUAUCGCUUCAAGAUGGCCUCGCGUCUGAUUAGCUAGUUGGCGGGGUAACGGCCCACCAAGGCGACGAUCAGUAGCCGGACUGAGAGGUUGAACGGCCACAUUGGGACUGAGAUACGGCCCAGACUCCUACGGAGGCGAGCAGUGGGGAAUAUUGGGCAAUGGGCGCAAGCCUGACCCAGCAACGCCGCGUGAAGGAGAAGGC